rnacentral:rRNA from 1 species
GAUGAACGCUAGCUACAGGCUUAACACAUGCAAGUCGAGGGACCGGCGCACGGGAGAGUAACACGUAUCCCACCUGCCCUUUACUGGGGGAUAGCCUUUCGAAAGAAAGAUUAAUACCCGACAUAAAGGAUGGGGAUGCGUUACAUUAGUGUGUUGGCGAGGUAACGGCUAACGAAGCCUUCGUUGGAUGGGGGUUCGGAGAGGAAGGUCCCCUACAUCGGAACUGGGAUCCGGACCAAACGACUAGGUGAGGAAGGAGUGAAGAAUAGUGGGCAAUGGACGCUAGCCUGAACCUGCCACGUAGCGUGAAGAAUGAAUGCUUAUGGGUCGUAAUCUUCUUGUAUAGAAGAAUAUGUAUUAUAUGAAUAAGGAUCGGCUAACUCCGUGCCAGCAGCCGCGGUAAUUC